rnacentral:rRNA from 1 species
AUACGGAGGAUGCAAGCGUUAUCCGGAAUGAUUGGGCGUAAAGCGUUCGUAGGUGGCGAUGCAAGUCUGCUGUCAAAGGUCGGGGCUCAACCCCGAACAGGCAGUGGAAACUGAAUUGCUAGAGUGCGGUAGGGGUAGAGGGAAUUCCCGGUGUAGCGGUGAAAUGCGUAGAGAUCGGGAAGAACACCAGUGGCGAAAGCGCUCUACUAGACCGCAACUGACACUCAGGGACGAAAGCUAGGGGAGCGAAUGGGAUUAGAUACCCUGGUAGUCCACGCCGUAAACGAUGAUAACUAUCUGUUGGGACCCUUAGGGUUUCAGUGGAGCAGCUAACGCAUUAAGUUAUCCGCCUGGGGAGUACGGUCGCAAGAUUAAAACUCAAAGAAAUUGACGGGGGCCUGCACAAGCGGUGGAGCAUGUGGUUUAAUUCGAAGCAACGCGCAGAACCUUACCAGCGUUUGACAUGGUAGGACGAUUUCCGGAGACGGAUCUCUUCCCGUAAAGACCUACACACAGGUG